rnacentral:tmRNA from 1 species
GGGGACGACAUGGCUUCGACGCCGGUUACAAACCCUUGGGUGCAUGUCGAGAUGGCAGCCAAUCUCGUUAAUCCAAAGCUGCAUUUAAAUAGUCGCAAACGACGAAAACUACGCACUGGCGGCGUAAGCCGUUCCAGUCGUCCUGACUGGGGUGCCUACUACCCAGAAGCAACACCUCAGGACGUCAUCAUGAGUAGGACGCUCUAUCAGUCAGAGCUCACUGCCUGAUAGCUAAGAUAUAAAGAGCUCGCCUCUUACACCCUGACCUUCGGGUCGUUUGAGGUUAAAUCAAUAGAAGGAAGCUAAGCAUGUAGAUCUCAAGGCAGAGGACUGGCGGACGCGGGUUCGAUUCCCGCCGUCUCCACCA